rnacentral:rRNA from 1 species
AGCUCCAAUAGCGUAUAUUAACGUUGUUGCAGUUAAAAAGCUCGUAGUUGAAUUGAAGUGAACUUGGGUUGAUGUGAUCUUCGGAUGACAUGAAUCAAAGUUGACUCUUUCCAAAGUCAAUACAUUGGUAUUCAUUUAUCUUUGUAUUGUGUUUGGUCAUUUACUGUGAGAAAAUUAGAGUGUUCAAAGCAGACGUUUGUUUGAAUACAUUAGCAUGGAAUAAUCAUAUAUGGCUUUCAUGUUGAUUUGAUUGGUUUGAAUAUGGAAGCAAGAUUAAAAGGGACAGUUGGGGGUAUUCAUAUUCAAUAGUCAGAGGUGAAAUUCUGGGAUUUAUGGAAGAUGAACAAGUGCGAAAGCAUUUACCAAGGAUGUUUUCA